UGUUUAAGUCUAGAUGAGGGAGGCGAGCUCAUGAGUGUGGUCAAGAACAAUGACAUCAUAGGCAGUCAGUCUAGAGCAGCAAGAAGACUCACACUUUCCUCGAAACUGCCAUGAGAAUUAGGCUCAUCUCUGCUGCAGUGCUAUGUUUCCUGGGAGCAGACCUUGUGAAUAUGGAAGUAACCCAGACACCAAGAUACCUGGUCAAAAGAAUGGGAGAGGAAGCUUUGCUGGAAUGUGUACAGGAUAUGGACCAUGAAAGAAUGUACUGGUAUCGACAAGACCCAGGUCUGGGGCUACGGCUGAUUUAUUUAUCAUAUGAUGCUAACAGUAACAGUGAAGGAGACAUCCCUGCAGGAUACAAGGUCUCUCGGAAGAAGCGGGAGAGUUUCUCCCUGAUUCUGGAGUCUACUAAAACCAACCAGACAUCUGUGUACUUCUGCGCCAGCAGUAUAUCCACAGCUCUGCACAGCCACAUCCUCUUCGCACAAAAAAAGCACCCAUGGGAAGGGAAGGAGAUUCUUCUCACCUCUCCACCCACCCAGAUUCUGCUAUACCCAUAG